CAGGGAGCCGAGGCAACCGCGUGGUUUCGACCGCGAGGAAAGUCCGGGCUCCACGAAGCAAGGGUGGCGGGUAACGCCCGCCGGGUGAGGCUUUCGGGCUGAGCUCAGGGAAAGUGCCACAGAGAGUAUACCGCCGAUGGAGGUCGAACCUCACAGGCAAGGGUGAAAGGGUGCGGCAAGAGCGCACCGGGGGUCUGGCAACAGGCUCCGCAUGGCAAACCCCACCCGGAGCAAGGCCAAAUAGGGGCCUCGCGCCCGACCAGAUACGGUCAGGGCAGGAGCGCUUCGCUCCGAGAGGCCCGGGUUGGCUGCUUGAGCCGCGUGGCAACAUGCGGCCCAGAUGAAUGGUUGCCGCCGCGGCGCUGGUCGAAAGAUACCGGUCGCGGAGACAGAACCCGGCUUAUGACGCUCCCUGAUGC
rnacentral:RNase_P_RNA from 18 species